rnacentral:rRNA from 1 species
CGAGGGGCAGCAUGGUCUUAGCUUGCUAAGGCUGAUGGCGACCGGCGCACGGGUGAGUAACACGUAUCCAACCUGCCGUCUACUCUUGGCCAGCCUUCUGAAAGGAAGAUUAAUCCAGGAUGGGAUCAUGAGUUCACAUGUCCGCAUGAUUAAAGGUAUUUUCCGGUAGACGAUGGGGAUGCGUUCCAUUAGAUAGUAGGCGGGGUAACGGCCCACCUAGUCAACGAUGGAUAGGGGUUCUGAGAGGAAGGUCCCCCACAUUGGAACUGAGACACGGUCCAAACUCCUACGGGAGGCAGCAGUGAGGAAUAUUGGUCAAUGGGCGAUGGCCUGAACCAGCCAAGUAGCGUGAAGGAUGACUGCCCUAUGGGUUGUAAACUUCUUUUAUAAAGGAAUAAAGUCGGGUAUGCAUACCCGUUUGCAUGUACUUUAUGAAUAAGGAUCGGCUAACUCCGUGCCAGCAGCCGCGGUAAUACGGAGGAUCCGAGCGUUAUCCGGAUUUAUUGGGUUUAAAGGGAGCGUAGAUGGAUGUUUAAGUCAGUUGUGAAAGUUUGCGGCUCAACCGUAAAAUUGCAGUUGAUACUGGAUGUCUUGAGUGCAGUUGAGGCAGGCGGAAUUCGUGGUGUAGCGGUGAAAUGCUUAGAUAUCACGAAGAACUCCGAUUGCGAAGGCAGCCUGCUAAGCUGCAACUG